rnacentral:piRNA from 1 species
UUCUGGGGUNUCUAAAGAGAGGCAGAAAAGC